CUGUUCUUAGAGGAUACACCUGAGGAGUGUCCUGUUUGACCAGACACCUCCAUUACCAAUGUUGGUUUCAGAUUUCUCAUGGCGUUGAAAAAUGCAGUUGGACAUUUAUCCUACUCAUUGGAGUCCUCAAUUUUAUUUCCAUCUGGAAUGGCACAGCAGUACUUGUGGGGCUGUUAACUUGGCUGAGGAAAGUGGUAUGGAACUGGUCCUUUGGACUUAGUGAGUAUCUACUUCAUAGGGCCACGAAGACCAGCAGGAUAUGAAACAACACUUCCACUACCUUUCCUCCAAGCCACUACAUCAGAAGUAUUAAUGAAGCAAAGCCAGGCAGAGACGUCUAAGUGCUCAGAUCAGUCAUGUUGUAAAACCUCAGAACUGAGCCAAAUGGCCACCUCGGUUCAAGAUCUGGAGGGGAAGCAGGAGUGCUCAUCAUCUGUGGUCUGUCUUUGCUGGCCCCAGCAUUUCAUUCAUGUGCUUUGGACACAUCAGUGCAUGACAGUCCCACCACCAACAGAUAGCUCCAAAGCUCCAAAGUGCAGUGCUGAGUUGAACUGAGGCACAGCCAGGAAAGACAGUGGGAAGCACAUGCACGCUGACGUAUUGAGUGUGCUUUUAAGUUUUAGGAUUGUUUCCCUCUUGGCCUCCACGCUUCUAGCUGCAAUAGAGCUCUGGAGUCUUAUUUUCUGGAAGUCCAUUUGGCUUUCACAUCUGCAGACUCAUCUCUGGUCUCGAGUACUUGGUAUGAAGGUACUUGCAAGUACACCUGAAUGCCCCUAGGCAAUGUGAAUGGCCCUCUUCUAGUUGUUUUAUAGAGAUGUGUUACGCUCUCAGGAGCACAAAGUGGAACAGGGAAAGGUCCAAGGAGUGGGAAGAGCCAUGGAUGGAUGAAGCCCUUUGGAGGAGGCCAUCUCCAGGGUUUGGGCUUCUUGGCCGAGAGUGAGGAUCUUAGCCCAUUGAGACCCCACACAAAGGAAGAACACCAAACCUGUCCGACUGAAGUACAUUUUCCCCAGAACAUAACUGAGGUCAUGGACCUUCUUGGCACGAGCUGUUACAGGGGUACAUUCAGAAAGGGCUGUGAGAAAUCACUAGAAGGCCAGCCCAUGGAGACAGCUCUGGGCCCAGAUGCAGCCUCCUGCUCGAGCUGUUGCUAAAUGCUUCUUGCCAAAAGCUUGGGAGUUAGGCCAAGAGUUACAUCCUCUCCUUCCCUCUGCAAGUCACAAGACACCAGGCUUGGGAUUGACCUUUGCUCUGAUGAACACUCAGGCCCCAACAUUUGGGUUUACCUGGCAGCAAGUCCCAGUGAUGCAAGCAAAAACUGUGAGGGAUGUGACAUUUGUUUGGAUUGCCUUGGUUUGUGUCAUUUUUCUUCUGUAUAUUGAGUUGUACACCCUAGUAUUGUUCCUGCAGUAGAACAGUCACACCCUGCUAGCAUUUUUGUGGCCUGCAGAUCUGUUUCCUUGAUUCUUGCUC
rnacentral:lncRNA from 7 species